UUUAGACCCACGGCGAACGGGUGAGUAAUACCUAGGAAUGUCCCUAUAGUUGAGGAUAACCCACCGAAAGGUGGGAUAAUACUCAAUGUGAUAGCAAUAUCAAAGUCGCAAGACGCUAUAGGCGCAGCCUGGGCACCAUCAGCUAGUUGGUAAGGUAAUGGCUUACCAAGGCUAUGACGGUUAGGGGCCCCGAGAGGGGAGACCUCCACACUGGAACUGCGACACGGUCCAG
rnacentral:rRNA from 1 species